CUUUCACAAGUUCCUUUUUAAAAAUCCUACUGCGGAUCCUGAAACCAUUCCACAGGGACCCAAGGGCAUUAAAGCUACUACUGCCAAAAAUCCUACCCCCUCUGAUAGAGACUCCAGGGUGCUGGAUAGAUGGGGUAAGAAG